AGUGAACGCUGGCGGUAGGCCUAACACACGCAAGUCGAACGGCAGCACAGUAAGAGCUUGCUCUUACGGGUGGCGAGUGGCGGACGGGUGAGGAAUACAUCGGAAUCUACUUUUUCGUGGGGGAUAACGUAGGGAAACUUACGCUAAUACCGCAUACGACCUACGGGUGAAAGCAGGGGAUCUUCGGACCUUGCGCGAUUGAAUGAGCCGAUGUCGGAUUAGCUAGUUGGCGGGGUAAAGGCCCACCAAGGCGACGAUCCGUAGCUGGUCUGAGAGGAUGAUCAGCCACACUGGAACUGGGACACGGUCCAGACUCCUACGGGAGGCAGCAGUGGGGAAUAUUGGACAAUGGGCGCAAGCCUGAUCCAGCCAUACCGCGUGGGUGAAGAAGGCCUUCGGGUUGUAAAGCCCUUUUGUUGGGAAAGAAAAGCAGCAGGUUAAUACCCCGCUGUUCUGACGGUACCCAAAGAAUAAGCACCGGCUAACUUCGUG
rnacentral:rRNA from 1 species